rnacentral:siRNA from 1 species
UGGGUCGGCCGGUCCGCCU